UAAACAUUAGAAGGAAAACAUCCGUUCAUGCGGCUCUAAAUAUACUGCCUUUAUCACACUAAGUUUGGUCAAACAGGAGGAAUUACUGCAGGAGAAUCAACUGACAUACUAUAGUAAUGAUGGAGACUGAGGAGGAAACCUGCAGAAUAAAAGAUGAAGAGACAGAAGAACGAAUAG
ensembl:processed_transcript